UCUAGUGUGCCUGUGUCAAAAAUUGAAUUCAAUUUAUUUUUCUUUUCUUUUAUUUUACAUUUUUCUUUUCGGGUCUAGCUCCAUGUUUUACUUGUCGACAAAUUUGGGAUACAGGUCUGUUUCGUCAACGAGUCCUUUCUCUGCCCCAGACUCUUGUAUUUUUGCACCUACAUACAUGGGCUACGUAUGAAUGAAAAUGGAUACAAAUUAGCCGCUAGGUGGCGUAUAUGUAUGCGUGUGUGUGUCGGCGAGGCCUCGCAGCCAAUUUUUGUUUGUGCACGUGUGUUUUGAUCUACAGUGCCUGCAAGCUAAUUGUGGAGCACAUCUUAAGUCACAUCCUGACUUAAGAUGUGGAGCACAACCAUUUAGCUUAAUGUGCACAAUUUUUGAUGUCAUAAACGAAAAACAAAGUCGCAUACCAAAAGCAUAAACAGCUCCAACGGAAGAGGCCACGCAUAACAUGAGAAACCUUUUAGUUGGCAUACUCAUAUACAUAUCUAGUAGUUCAAACAACAACAAAAUUUUAUAGUCAAAAAGAAAUGAUAUGUUCUAUUUUAUUAACAAAUUUGAAAUUUAAAAUUAUUCCUCAUAAAAAUAUAUAUAUUACUUUAUUCCAA